GGCCUUACCACCAUCGUCCACGAGUUGCAGCCGCAAAAAGACGUCGGUUGUAGACAGCAAUAUAAAAGCUCCGAAGCAGCCGCCGAUUAGGGGUUUAUCGGUGGUUUUAUCACUCUAUUCAUUCGCUUCUCCGCUCCUCCAAUCCAAAGCCAGCUCUCUCGUUCAAUCCGAAACUCUGGCUUUCUCCGCUUCCUCUCUCCCAACCCCCUUAUGGCGAACCCACGAGCUCUGGAGAGGAGGACGAGAGAAAACAUCCAAGAAUCCCCUGGCUAAUCCCCCUCUUCCCUUCCAUUCGCCCUCUUCUCGCCCAAUUUCCGGAUGGGAGUCCUUCAGCUCGCUCCGUUCUUCCUCCUUCCCUCUUGGCUCGGAGCCGCCGGAGUCGGAGGACUCGUUUCCGGUGGCUUUCUCUCAAUUGGGACCCCUCCAAUCCUCCGUUUUGCUAGAACCUGCCAUCGAUGACGAUAUUGUGGAGUGCGUCGAUGAGGCGAUGAAGUUUCCGUGGCUGGGGUAUGGGUUCUCUCCUGAUUUCCCCAGGAAAAGCUUAAAGAUGGAUUUUUGCGAAGAUCCGGACUGGAUUUCACCCAAUUUGUCCACUGAGUUCGAUGCUCCGGCGAAGAUCGCGACAUCGGAUUCUCGUCGAGAAGAAAAAAAGAAGUAUAAUGCUUUAAGGAGAAGGCAGAUUAAGGCGGAGACGGAGGCGUGGGAGAGGGCGGCGGCGGAGUACAAAGAAUUGGAGAGGGUGAUGCUUGAGAAGAAGCUGGCCCCGAGCUUGCCGUAUGUGAAGUCACUCUUUUUGGGCUGGUUCGAGCCGCUGAGAGAUGCCAUUGAGAAGGAGCAAAGGCUACAGAAGACAAAGAGGCAGAAGGCGGCAUAUGCUUCGCAUCUUGGGCUUUUGUCAGCUGAUAAGAUGGCGGUCAUCGUGAUGCAUAAGAUGAUGGGGCUGCUGAUGACGGGCCAAGUGGAGGGGUGUGUUCGGGUUGUCCAAGCUGCAAUUCAUAUUGGGGAGGCUAUAGAACAAGAGUUUAAAAUCCUUACUUAUCUUGAGAAGACUAAGAGACCGGGAAGGAGAAAAAGUCAGGAAGAAAAAGAUGUGAUCUUAAAUCAAGGGCAGGAAAAUCUUCGGAAAAAAGUGACAAAAUUAAUUAAAAUGAAGAAGCUGAUUGAGGUGCAGAAACUAGUGAAGAAUGAGAUUGAGCUGGAUUCUUGGGGUCGAGAUGGCCAAGCUAAGUUGGGAAGUCGUUUGAUAGAAUUAUUAAUAGAAUCAGCAUUUGUACAAUCACCACCUAACCAGUUAGUAGAUAGUUUGCCCGAUAUUCGACCUGCUUUUAGGCACUCCUUGAAAGCUGUUGCUAAGGAAGAUGGGAAAUUGAGAAAUAAAUAUGGAGUGAUAGAAUGUGAUCCACUAGUCCAAAAGGGGCUCGACAGCACAGCUAGGCACAUGGUGAUCCCUUACCUGCCAAUGUUGAUACCUCCAAAGAGUUGGAAAGGGUAUGACAAUGGUGGACAUUUGUUCUUACCCUCCUAUGUUAUGCGCACACAUGGAUCAAAGGAGCAGCAGGAUGCAAUUAAAAGUGUUCCAAGAAAACAGCUGCAGAAAGUAUUCAAGGCACUGGAUAUCCUUGGAAGCACCAAGUGGAGAGUAAAUAGACCAGUACUUGAUGUCAUAGAGAGUAUCUGGAGUAGAGGGGGAGGUAUUGCAGGUCUGGUUGACCGUGAAGAUAUUUUUGUGCCAGGAAGACCUGAUUCAGAGGAUUCUGUUGAGAUAAAAAAAUGGAGGUGGAGUGUAAGAAAAGCGAAAAAGGCUAACAAUGAGAUGCAUGCUCAGCGAUGUGAUACAGAACUUAAACUUUCAGUAGCCCAUAAAAUGAGGGAUGAGGAAGGAUUUUAUUAUCCUCAUAAUCUAGAUUUCCGUGGCCGGGCCUACCCUGUGCAUUCACACUUAAAUCAUUUAAAUUCAGAUCUAUGUCGAGGAAUUCUGGAGUUUGCUGAAGGAAGGCCACUGGGGAAGUCUGGCUUGCAGUGGCUGAAAAUACAUUUGGCAAACUUAUAUGGUGGAGGUGUUGGAAAGCUUUCGUAUGAUGGGAGGUUGGCAUUUGUGGAGAAUAAUUUACCUGAUAUAUUUGAUUCAGCUGUGAAUCCCAUUGAUGGGAACCGCUGGUGGUUGAAUGCUGAAGAUCCUUUCCAGUGCUUAGCUGCAUGUAUUAAUCUAUCUGAUGCCUUAAAAAGCUCAUCACCAACAGAGGCCAUCUCCCACCUACCCAUUCAUCAGGACGGUUCGUGCAAUGGUUUGCAGCAUUACUCAGCUUUAGGAAGAGAUAGUCUGGAGGCAGCUGCUGUCAACUUAGUUGCUGGAGAGAAACCUGCAGAUGUCUAUUCAGGAAUAGCUGCUAGGGUUAUGGAUAUUAUGAGAAAGGACUCUGCAAAAGAUCCUACUACUGAUCCAAGAGCAUUGUUGGCCAAGGCCUUAGUUGAUCAGGUGGAUAGGAAGCUAGUAAAGCAGACUGUGAUGACAUCAGUCUAUGGUGUUACAUAUGUUGGUGCUCGUGAACAGAUCAAAAGGAGACUGGAAGAGAAGGGACUAAUUACGGAUGACAGGUUGCUGUUUACUGCAUCUUGCUAUGCUGCUAAGGUAACAUUAGAUGCUUUGGGAGAGAUGUUCCAAGCUGCACGCGGUAUUAUGAAAUGGCUUGCUGAUUGUGCAAAGGUGAUUGCUUCAGAGAAUCAGCCUGUGAGAUGGACGACUCCUCUUGGCCUCCCAGUUGUUCAGCCUUAUAAAAAUUGUGAAAGGCAUCUUAUAAGAACUUCCCUUCAGGUCUUGGCAUUGCAACGGGAGGGUCACUCAGUUUCAGUUAAGCGGCAGAAGUCAGCUUUUCCUCCAAAUUUUGUACACUCUCUUGAUGGUUCACAUAUGAUGUUGACUGCCAUUUCCUGCAAGAAUGCUGGUUUACACUUUGCAGGGGUGCAUGACUCAUUCUGGACGCAUGCUUGUGAUGUAGACAGGAUGAAUCAAAUCCUAAGAGAACAAUUUGUGGAGCUUUACAACAUUCCAAUUCUUGAGAACCUGCUUGAGGGCUUCCAGACAUCCUUCCCGACAUUAACUUUUCCUCCUUUGCCAGAUCGGGGCAACUUUGACCUAAAGAAAGUUCUUGAGUCUCCUUAUUUCUUCAACUGAUUUAUCAUUUGGAAACUAAGUGAGGUUCUGCAUCCACUUGCUCCAAGCUUCUUUUGGAAUGCAAUAAUGCCUUAUCUUUUUUCGUGAGAAACAUGCAUUACAGAUCAGGCAUUUAAGAUCGACAUGUUCGGCAAUACACAAAAGUGGACAUGCAGAGCACAAUCCAGGAUUGUAUCAAGACAUCCUUUUCAGAACAACGUACUACUAACAUGUAUUCUUGAGGACAUGAGGAAUGUAGCUAUCGAAUGUCGACAGCAGUCCUCAUCAGAGAAUGAAGCACUGCACGAUGCUACAAGGCAGCAAGCAGCGUUUUAGAAUAGGUUGGAUUUGUAUACUAAAAUAUUCAGUCUGUACUGGAAGAGAAUCUGGAGAGAUGAUAGAAAUGAGAGUUACAGUGCCAAUACGUAAUGUAGGUCAUUUAUUCAUGUACAUUUUAACAUCACCAUUCAAUGUUCAAAAACUAUUUGAAAUAAUAAUUACAUUUUUACUAUAAUUUCCAAUUUCGUUU